CGCAUGGCCAUCCCCGUGAGCUUCCCGGCGCCCCGCCUCGCCCUCUUCUCUAAUUUAGAUUGGUGGCGGCAGGGAGACAUGAGACGUCAGUCAACAUAUGUAAGAGGAACGAUGGAUUGGUCCGGAAAGGUCUCCUUUGAAUCUCAUCAGGGUUCACUCCAUUAGACAAAAGUGCUACCUACAAAUCCCUUUGAGGUAAGUCCAUCUCUACCUAUUUUGGGGUUCUGCUAAUACUGACGAACAAGCCUUAAGCCUUCUGGAGGCCCUGUGGUUUGAUUGAUGGACUCUGUGAGCCACACCAUUAAUCUCUUUAAGUAGCUGUUAGUCUAAGUGAAUGGUAUCCUGAGGCACAAUCUUUGCUUUUUCUGAGAUUUUAAAGGAUUUUACCGUCACAUCUCAACUUCAUCUUUGUUUUCUUCUGGCAGUACCCUGGAUUUGAUAUUUGCUUGGAAAGUAUUAGUAUUUCUUAGUUUUACACCCUUUGCAAUCAGACGAAGCUGAGAACUUUAAAAAUCAUCCAAGUAGUCAAGGUCCGUCCUUUUUGUGUUUCGUCUUGCUUAUCUCAUUUAUUUUACUAUAAACAAACAAACAAAAAAUGGACAGAAGGGAGAGACUUUCAUGGGUGUUGGACAUGUCCUACCAGUUGGUAUGGAUAGAAUAUGCAUGGUUGUAUGGAUGUGUACAAAGUCAUCAAUGUGCACAUUUAAAAUAUAUGCACUGUAUUGUAUUCCUGCUACACCUUCGCUAAAAAAAAAAAAAAGUUGAAUGUGAGCGCGGGCGUGAGAAAACCGCAGCGCGCAUGCGUGAGCGUGAACGCGCUGAGAGGCCGGAAACAAAGGUGGGUGCGCGUGCACAGACGCGCUCGCUGGCCGCCGGAAGCAAAGGCGAGAGCGCGCGUGCGUGCGUGUGCGUGAGCGCGAGCGCGCGGAGGUCGGAAGCGGGCGCUGUA
rnacentral:lncRNA from 1 species